rnacentral:lncRNA from 1 species
AAAAUUGUUCUUAAGCUUCUGGGGAUUGGACGAAUUGAUUUGGUAGAAUAAUUGUAAUAAAUUUCUGACCUUGGUGGAAGUUCUCGCUGUAGAUGAAGAAAGGUAUGGUAAUCACUUCUCCUCUUCUUCUAAACCUGCAAUUAAAAAAUAAUAAUUUGGUCGGUUAAUGCUUCGCAACUUUUUUAAAAACUUCGGGCAAUGGUAAUCAUUUAUAGUUUGUUGGACAGAGAAGAGACAGAGUUUAUAUAAGAAAGUUCGUGUUUCGCACCUGUUAUUUGCGGCAACCCAUUGAAGGCUUCUCUGUAGACAAUAUUGGCGAUAGUGUUCGGCAAGCCAAUGGGGCGGGUAAUGUUCCAAACCUUAAGUCCUUUUGGGGCUCUGUUACUCUUGAUAGCGCCACGUAUAAUUGACCAUGAGUGAAAACAGGCUUCGGCAAUUUGGCCCUGACUUUUGUUAAUUGUCAUUGUGUAGGAUACUCUUACUGGAAACUGGCGUCUUUUGAGAGUGAAGGGAUGAUUGGACUCUGUGGGUGAGAGGACGAUUCUAGGUAUCAGGACAAGCUGCUUUCUUGUUGAAGAGGUAGGCACUUCUGCUUUAGUAAUUCUUUCUCCCAAGUGUGUGACUAUAAGUCUUGUACCAUUGCAUAACCCCUCAGCUUGGUUUAUGUUGCGAAUAAGCAUGCUUGGGACUCCAACUUUCAGGGUAAUUCUAUGCGCAGGUAAUCCUGGAAAUUCUAGUGAGUUGAGAUAUUCAAAUGGAUAGGAUAAAUCGAACUCUCCUGAAUGUUUUUCGUCUUCUGCGAAGCUGUCACAGCUUAAGUAUCCUUGCUCAGUUCCUGGAAUCUUGGAAAGCAAGUAAGUGUUGAUUUCAUCAACUGUAUCAUUCCUAGGAGUUAAUAUAGUUGUAUCUCUGAUUUUUUCCAAAUCCUUGUAGCCAUUUUCAAAAUCUGUGAAAACAGACUGACAGAGGAUAUCAAGUGGGUUUGAAGUAACGGGGAGGAGGAGAGAAUCGUUGAUCAGAAUUUGGUCUUCAGAAGUUUCAGAAUUCAUUUCUUUC